GAUUCCUGGCUCAGAUUGAACGCUGGCGGGAUGCUACAUGCAAGUCAGACAGCGGCACGGACUUCGGUCUGGUGGCGAGUGGCGAACGGGUAGGUGUCCGGAACGUGCCUAAGUAGCGGGGAUAACUACGCGAAAGCGUAGCUAUUACCGCCUCCGCCCUUCGGAAAAGCGGGGACCUUCGGGCCUCGCACUGGUGGCCGAUAUCCGGAUUAGCUAGUUGGUGGGGUAACGGCUCCUGAGGCGACGAUCCAUCGCUUCUUGGUUGAAGGCGACCAGCCACACUGGGACUGGACGCAACCGAACUCCUACAGGAGGCAGCAGUGGGGGUACACCUGGGCAAUGAAGCCUAGUCAAUACCGUCCCGCGUGUGCGACUGAAGGCCUUCGGGUUGUAAAGCACUUUUGGCAGAAGAAACGGCACGGGAUAAUACCCCGUGCAGCUGACGGUACCUGCAGAAUGACACCGGCUAACUGCGUGCCCGGCAGCCGCGGUAAUACGUAGGGUGCAAGCGUUAAUCGGAAUUACUGGGCGUAAAGCGUGCGCAGGCGGUUCGGAAAGAAGAUGUAGAAAUCCCAGAGCUUAACUUUGGAACUGCAUUUUUAACUACCGAGCUGAAGUGUGUCAGAGGGAGGUGGAAUUCCGCGUGUAGCAGUGAAAUGCGUAGAUAUGCGGAGGAACACCGAUGGCGAAGGCAGCCUCCUGGGAUAACACUGACGCUCAUGCACGAAAGCGUGAGGCAAACAGGAUUAGAUACCCUGGUAGUCACCUAAACGAUGUCAACUAGCUGUUGAGGCCUUCGGGCCUUGGUAGCGCAACUAACGCGUGAAGUUGACCGCCUGGGAGGUGAGUUAUGAGACAAACUUCCGAAGUUGACGAGUUGCGCGGCAGUGGAAGAUGUGGAUUAAUUCGAUGCAACGCAGAAACCGCCACCUAUACGGCUGUCACAGAAUCGAAGAAGAGAUUUAGGAGUGCUCGCAAAGAGAACCGGAACACAGGUGCUGCAUGGCAGUCGUCAGCUCGUGUCGUGAGAUGUUGGGUUAAGUCCGCAACGAGCGCAACCCUUGUCAUUAGUUGCUACAAAAGACACUCUAAUGAGACUGCCGGUGACAAACCGGAGGAAGGUGGGGAUGACGUCAAGUCCUCAUGGCCCUUAUGGGUAAGACUGCACACGUCAUACAAUGGUCAGGACAGAGGUCGCCAACCCGCGAGGAGAACCAAUCCCAGGAAACCCGAUCGUAGUCCGGAUCGCAGUCUGCAACUCGACUGCGUGAAGUCGGAAUCCGCUGGUAAUCGCGGAUCAGCAUGUCGCGGUGAAUACGUUCCCGGGUCUUGUACACCACCGCCCGUCACCAUGUGGGAGUGGGUUUUACCCGAAGUAGUUAGCCUAACCGUAAGGAGGGCGAUUACCACGGUAGGAUUCAUGACUGGGGUGAAGUCGUAACAAGGUAA
rnacentral:rRNA from 1 species